CCUACGGGAGGCGGCAGUGAGGAAUAUUGGUCAAUGGGCGAGAGCCUGAACCAGCCAAGUCGCGUGAGGGAUGACGGUCCUAUGGAUUGUAAACCUCUUUUGUCGGGGAACAACGGCGUCCACGUGUGGACUGAUGAGUGUCCCCGAAGAAAAAGCAUCGGCUAACUCCGUGCCAGCAGCCGCGGUAAUUCGGAGGAUUCGAGCGGUAUCCGGAUUUAUUGGGUUAAAGGGGUGCGUAGGCGGACAGUCAAGUUGGCGGUAAAAAUGCGGUGCUAAACGCCGUACAGCCGUUGAAACUGGCAGUCUUGAGGGGGAGAGAAGUAUGCGGAAUGCGUGGUGUAGCGGUGAAAUGCAUAGAUAUCACGCAGAACUCCGAUUGCGAAGGCAGCAUACCGGCGCCCUACUGACGCUGAGGCACGAAAGCGUGGGUAUCGAACAGGAUUAGAUACCCUUGUAGUC
rnacentral:rRNA from 1 species